GAGAGAGAGAGAGAGCGAAAGAGAUUUUUAAGAUUUGAAAAGAAUCCCAGUGAGACCCAGCCCCAGUGACACCAACAGAUUAGCGGGAUUGAAGGCCAUGUUUCCCCGAUUCUCUCACAGAUAGCAGCAGUGGCUAUCGCGGAAGUCAAAUGGGACAGAUGAGGCAGAUAAGGAGAGAGCAGAGGAGGAAAAGGGACUUUCGAUUUUGG
rnacentral:misc_RNA from 1 species